rnacentral:rRNA from 1 species
UAGUCCACGCCCUAAACGAUGUCUACUAGUUGUCGGGUCUUAAUUGACUUGGUAACGCAGCUAACGCGUGAAGUAGACCGCCUGGGGAGUACGGUCGCAAGAUUAAAACUCAAAGGAAUUGACGGGGACCCGCACAAGCGGUGGAUGAUGUGGAUUAAUUCGAUGCAACGCGAAAAACCUUACCUACCCUUGACAUGGCUGGAAUCCCCGAGAGAUUGGGGAGUGCUCGAAAGAGAACCAGUACACAGGUGCUGCAUGGCUGUCGUCAGCUCGUGUCGUGAGAUGUUGGGUUAAGUCCCGCAACGAGCGCAACCCUUGUCAUUAGUUGCUACGAAAGGGCACUCUAAUGAGACUGCCGGUGACAAACCGGAGGAAGGUGGGGAUGACGUCAAGUCCUCAUGGCCCUUAUGGGUAGGGCUUCACACGUCAUACAAUGGUACAUACAGAGCGCCGCCAACCCGCGAGGGGGAGCUAAUCGCAGAAAGUGUAUCGUAGUCCGGAUUGUAGUCUGCAACUCGACUGCAUGAAGUUGGAAUCGCUAGUAAUCGCGGAUCAGCAUGUCGCGGUGAAUACGUUCCCGGGUCUUGUACACACCGCCCGUCACACCAUGGGAGCGGGUUUUACCAGAAGUAGGUAGCUUAACCGUAAGG